rnacentral:lncRNA from 1 species
AACGGUUAAAACAACUGGAACACCGAUACUCCCGUGCACUUGAAAUGUACCCUUAGUAUAUAUAUGGAGCCAUGGAGGGGACGUGAACUAAACAUGUAUAAAAGUUAGUGAGGGGCAUGGGUACAAAAUGUGUAAUAUUUUCACUUGCCAUAUUGAUAAUUGGAGUGGCUAUUCUCUAUUCAAUCGUUGUGGAUGAACUUGAUCAUGAUAUUAUUAUUCCUCUACAACCUUGGACUCCAUCUUAUUAUAUUAUUGCAUCUACGCCUAAGCUUUCAAGGUGUAUCGAAGAUUGCAAGAGAUGCUAUGUUGAGCAUUCUUUCUUGUUCUCAAGAUGCUAUGCAAAUUGCCGUAUCAAGCAUGGCUAGUACUUCUGCCUUUUUUAUUUCUUAAGUUGGUAUUUCUGCCUUUUUAUUUUUAUUUUUAUUUUUUAGUUUUGUAAUUUGUUGCCUUCUUCUCAUAUAUAGUCUCUUCUUAUGCUUCAUUCUUCUUGUUUUGUUGAGGAAUUUCAUAUUUCAACCUGGUAUGACCUUCAAAGUUGCUUAUGUAAUCUCUUUUA